UUUCCUCUCUAGUUGUUAUCCCUCUCUCCCCAUUUUUCGUUUUCCCCUUAUUUUGCUAAUGGAAACUCUUCCUCUGCCGCCUUUCAUCUUUGUUUCUUUUGUCUUUUCAUUUUGUUUUAUUUUCCAUAAUUUUGUGGGCAAUCUCUUGCUUAUUUUUCUUUUAUGCCAUCCAGACCUUGAUUCGUCACAGUGUCGUCAAUUCUUUGUUUUCUUUGUUGGUCAUAUGUGCUUCGAAACUUCGACUUAGUAUUAUAUAUUUAUUUUAUUUUAUUUUGCAAUCAUAAUUUGUUUGUUUUAUAGGAAGUUGUUUUUUUAAUCUUGGGAGAGUUUUGGUUAUGUUAAGUGAAGAUUGCGAGAUACAUAACCCACCAGCAGUUUAGUUGCUGUUAAACCGCUAUCUUUCCAGGGGACUUGGAGUGCUGCUUUAGUGCCGACAUCCCAAAAGUAAUAAGGUGUACGACCUGACCCGUAAUUUUUAAAAACGAACAUGGAAACCUUGAAAUUCUAUGAAAAUCAAAAUGAGGCUGAUGACGCUACAUGGUCAUGUGUCGGGCCGUGUGAGAAACAUAGAUGUAUAAGCCACAUGGUCUGGUUGAGGUAGGACUUGGAGUGCUGUUUUAGUGCCGACAUCCUAAAAGUAAUAAGUUGUAUGACCUAACCCGUAAUUUUUAAAAACGAACAUGGAAACCCUAAAAUUUUGUGAAAAUCAAAAUGAGGCUGAUGACGCUACAUGAUCGUGUGUAGGGCCGUGUGAGAAACAUAGAUGUAUAAGCCACAUGGUCUGGUUGAGGUAAGGCUUGUGGGCUACACGAUUUGGCCUGAUGGGUCGUGUGAGCCAUUUUGAGUGGUCCGUUGGGCCAAGUAUUAAAUUCUAGACUCUGAUUUGUAAUAUAUUCUAAAUAUGUGUUAAAUCAUGAUACCUGUAAACAUAUGUGUAUACGUAUCUAUAAAAGUGGGUUUCUGUUCA